AUACGAAGGGGGCGAGCGUUGUUCGGAAUUACUGGGCGUAAAGGGCGCGUAGGCGGUCUUUUAAGUUAGGCGUGAAAGCCCCGGGCUCAACCCGGGAACUGCGCUUAAGACUGGAAGACUAGAAAACGGAAGAGGGUAGUGGAAUUCCCAGUGUAGAGGUGAAAUGCGUAGAUAUUCGGAGGAACACCAAUUGCGAAGGCAGCUCACUGGGCCGCUAUCGACGCUGAGGAGCGAAAGCUAGGGGAGCAAACAGGAUUAGAUACCCUGGUAGUCCUAGCUGUAAACGAUGGAUACUAGAUGUAGGAAUUGGUUUAACGAUUUCUGUAUCGUAGCUAACGCGUUAAGUAUCCCGCCUGGGGAGUUACGGUCGCAAGACUAAAACUCAAAGGAAUUGACGGGACCCCGCACAAGCGGCGGAGCAUGCGGCUUAAUUCGAUGAUACCCGUAGAACCUUACC
rnacentral:rRNA from 1 species